UGAUAGCAGGGUAAGACCUAGCUGGCAUAGGGAGCGGGUUCAACCAUUGUGGUUCUGGCGGAGCUGAAAACAGCAUCGGUCCGGUCCGGGACCCAACGGUCUGCUGCUGCCCAGCCGACAUAGCCGACCAAUAGGAGGCCAGGUAAGCUGUCUCAUAUGACCCGAUUCAACAGAGUUCACUUGACUUCUUCCUUUUAGAGCGAGGGCCAUCCUUCAACCAAUAGACAGGCUCAAUUACUCAAUUACUAUUGCAACUGUUACUGUGUUUUCAACAGGGAUCACAUAGGUGAUACACACAAGAUAUGUUGGGAAAAAAGAAAGGUACAAGGACAAUUCAGAGACGGGUUCUGGGUCUUAGAGACAGUCGUUUUUUUGGGGGGGGCUUCCUUUAAUGCCUUUGACUCCCUUCUGAAAAGAACAGGCGUAAACUUCUAACAGACCGACUUCAGACACUAUGAUUAGAGUACAGUAUAUUGUUGUAGUAGUGCAUUAUUGCAGGGCAUGUGUCAGACAUACAGUCCAGACACACAGACAGAGUGAGUGAGUAAGUUUAGAGAGUUGCUGGGUGUUAAUUGAGGUACUUGAUCUGAAUCCAAUAGCGUCUGAUGCUGCGAGCUGACAGACUAAAAGGGUUGUGAAAUCAACAUCAGACACACACACACACACACACACACACACACACACACACACACACACACACACACACACACACACAGUGUAGUUACAAUUAACAAGCUGUGUCUGGGCAACCCGAUACACACUGACUAAGUACAGAGGGAGGAGGGAGUGAAUGAAAGAGAGGAAGAGAAGAGGGGACAAGAGAGGUAGGGUAGAGACAGAGUGGUAAAGGGAGAGAAAGGGGGAAGAAGGGUUGGUAACCUGGGUAACCUGGUUCUUCUAUCUUCUCCUCUCACACUUUCUCCUUCCACUUCUUUUUACUUGUCCUCUCAUCUUCCUUUCUCCCCUCCUGUCCUCUCUCCUCUCAUCCUCCUCUCUCCCCUUGUCCUCUCAUCCUCCUCUCUCCCCUCCUGUCCUCUCUCCUCUCAUCCUCAUCUCUCCCCCUCUCCUCUCAUCCUCCUCUCUCCCCCUGUCCUCUCUUUCCCCUCUAUUUCCCACUCUCCUCCACUCUCUCCUUUCUAUUAAUCUCCUCUUUCACCUCCCCACUCCUCCUCCUCUCCUCCCUCUCCUUAACUCUUGCAGGUGUUAUCUCUCUCUCUUAAGCGGAGGCAAUUACCCAUUGACCUAAUAAAUAAUGAAUCUGAUAGGCUCAUUAAUGAUUAAUGUUAAUUGCUGAUUUAGGUUUCCUUCAACACAAAAAGACACAAGGGAGGGGAGAAUGCCAACAACUCUAAGGUCAAAGAGUCUCGCUCACACGGUCACACACACACACACACACACACACACACACGCACACCGGGUUAGAUGAAUGUGACAGUGGUAGGGUUCAGGGUUAGGGUUAGAUGAAGGUGGUAGGGUUCAGGGUUAGGGUUAGAUGAAGGUGGUAGGGUUCAGGGUUAGGGUUAGAUGAAGGUGGUAGGGUUCAGGGUUAGGGUUAGAUGAAGUUGGUAGGGUACAGGGCUAGAUGAAGGUGGUAGGGUACAGGGUUAGGGCUAGAUGAAGGUGGUAGGGUACAGGGUUAGGGCUAGAUGAAGGUAGUAGGGUACAGGGUUAGGGCUAGAUGAAGGUGGUAGAGUACAGGGUUAGGGCUAUAUGAAGGUGGUAGGGUAUGGGGUUAGGGCUAGAUGAAGGUGGUAGGGUACAGGGUUAGGGCUAGAUGAAGGUGGUAGGGUGCAGGGUUAGGGCUAGAUGAAGGUGGUAGGGUGCAGAGUUAGGGCUAGAUGAAGGUGGUAGGGUACAGGGUUAGGGCUAGAUGAAGGUGGUAGGGUUCAGGGUUAGGGUUAGAUGGAGGUGAUAGACUUCAGGGUUAGGGUUAGAUGAUGACAGAUUAGCUCAUGUACUUAACGUUGAUCAAUAAAGUUGAUAGUGUUGAAAUGAUCCUUGUAAUGGGUGGGCGUGAGCUGGCACUAACAGAUAUCUGUGUGUGCUACAAUGACACGAUUCAGGGACACUAGGAAAUGCUUAUUGUAAAAACCAAUCAAUGAAAACUGAAACCUUUUCAUAUGGAUAGCUGUUCCCUAGCCCAAAUUAUGAUGUCACUGCACUAAAUUCGGACUUUGCACUUGAAGCUUUAUCUUUUAUCUGUGAAUUGUACUUGAAGUUCUGUUGAGUCAAGACUCACCCACUGACAUGUCUGCCUGCCUGUCUGCCUGUCUGCCUGUCUGCCUGUCUGUCUGCCUGUCUGCCUGUCUGCCUGCCUGUCUGCCUGUCUGUCUGCCUGUCUGCCUGUCCGUCUGCCCGUCUGCCUGUCUGCCUGUCUGCCUGUCUGCCUGCCUGUCUGCUUGUCUGCCUGUCUGCCUGUCUGUCUGCCUGUCUGCCUGUCUGCCUGCCUG
ensembl:lncRNA